AGAGUUUGGUAUUGGAGAUGACAAUGGUCCUGAGGCUUAGCUUUUCUCAUACGAGAAAAGGUAUCUUUGUAUUGGUCUUCUUGUGUGGUGUUUUUCUAAGUUAUGUUAUGCGGCAACUAGUAAAGGGACAUGGAGCAGCAAUGUUCUUUUUUCAUCGUGGAUGCUUCUUCAUUGUUCCCAGUUUUUCAUCGGCUAUUUGAGUUAUUUUAAGCUUAUGAACUUGAUCUAUCUUUUGUUAUGUUUUAAUGAGUUGUUAAACUAUGUUAAACUUAUGUUUUUUGGUUAAAGUUAUGCUUAUUAAGUUCU